rnacentral:lncRNA from 1 species
UCCAACUCCACCACUUUUCCUGAGGACCAGCUUAUGUUCUUCUUCUUUAAGGUACCUGCAGAACUGUGAGCUUAAAACUGGCAAGAGUGUAAAUGUGCAUCCUGCUUCACCUGUUUAGUAUGGCUUAUGCCCAGUGGUUCUUCAAACAAAUUCUCUGUGGUACAGAGGUAACUAGGGCACACCUGUGACAGAGCAGUAAGAAGAGCAACCAUCUCUGAGUCUCCAGAGCUCCUCUCUGCAGGAAGGUCUGGGUCCUCGGGCACUGGGACCUCUAUGAAGAAAAGAAGGCAAAGAUCAGUAAUAUGCAGCAUGCCCCAAUAAUGGGCAAAAAUCUGGGCAUCCCCCACCAUCUUUGGUAGGAAGGUGGCCCUAUCCUUUCUAUUAUGGGAACCAAGAAACUGGCCUAAGGGUAGCUCCCAUAUCCCAAUCCCAUCACCUAUGAGACUAUCAGAAUGCCAAGAGAACAAGCAACAAUCUGCUGUCUAAGCUUGGCCCUGUUUAUGGGGGACUCUAGCUGGCGGUACUGUCUCCUCUUGACAUCCUGGAUUCUGUGAUGUCUUUCCAUACAGUCUAUCUACCCAGCUUCCUUGGUAUAGGAGAAAUGUCCGAGAAAUGUCCCCCUCCUUGCCUGCCUUCUGCCACAAUCCCCCCUUUCUGCUGAUGCUUCCCACCGCUCUCCUGCAGGGUCUGGAGCUCCUCUUCCUGGUGUGGACGCUGCUCUGCCGGUGCCCCCAGAUCUGGGCUCUGUGUGGUUUCCUCAGGAGACUGCUCGGGGGUCGAGCUUUGCACAGGAUCCUGCAGCUCAUUAGGUGACUCAGGCUCCACUCCUAAAUGCACCGUCUCCUCUGACAGGACUUCCUGGCCGUGAACAUGGAC